ensembl:lncRNA
AGAGCAAAUGUGUGGGCCGAACCAUUCAGUAUGGGGGCUGUGUGAGCAAGAAGAAAGUGCAAGGCCCAACUGGACAGACAUGGCAGGAUGAGACUUGACCAGGUACUAUCUCCACCCCAACACAACAGCGCCUCCAGCCAUUUCCUCUUCUUAACCUCAUUGUGAACCACAAACCUAAAAGCAACUGAUGAACAGUCUUUGGAUAAGGUGCCUCAGACAUUGUCCAAACUGAAAACUGAUUCACAGACAAGUUCUCUUGGAACUGCACUUGCUUUGGGAAGUCUCUUUCCACCCAAAAGCCAACUAGAAAUCCAGGCAGCCUUCCUUCCUCAACCCUAGAGCAGUUGAGUUCCUACUAGUUGACAGUUCAGUCUGCGGAGCUGCUCAGUGCUAAUGGGAUGACUUAACCUGGGUGGAGCCUUUCCGAUUUGGCAGCAGCGAAUCGUGCAAAAUGCCAGUGGAGAAACCUGCAGUGCCAUCAAGCCGCAUGCACUGACCUGGUUAAAAUCACCAGAGCAGCAGAUCACCUCCCGUGCUGCCCCAGCAACAGGGAUGGCAGCUACCCAAGACGGCAAGAACAGGAGCAGUAAACCUUCUGAUUGCCCCUAUGCAGGAGGCCAGGGUCUGUCUGGAGGCAGUAAUUAAUGCUAGUGUGGGUUUAUUUCUCAAAGCCUCCAUGUGGAAGUGCCUUUGUCUUGUGCUUUUGACAGCACAGUAAAGCAUCAAAAGGGACAGAAGCCUCUUUAUUGGAUAGUUUAUGAUGUUCCACCUCAAAACAUUAGGCUUGGAAAAGCCAUUCACUUUCUGCUCACCAUAUGGGAUUUUAAAUAAAAUGGGUGCUCCAU